rnacentral:misc_RNA from 1 species
GUGAAUCAUCGAAUCUUUGAACGCAAAUUGCACCCUCCUCGGAGAGUAUGCCUGUUUGAGGGUCAGCCUCUAAAAAUCGACAUCGUUGCUGUUUCGCGGUGGUGUUCGUCGGCAAUUGGGUCAUCUUAAUUACUUUUGAUUUAAGCGACUUAUAAUUUUCUUUUGGUUUCAUGAACGUUUCUCAGAUAUAUUUUUUUAUAAGUUUAC